ensembl:lncRNA novel transcript, antisense to FUS
UUUUUUAUGUUUUUGAGAUGGGGCCUCAACACACUGCCCAGGCUGGAAUGCAGUGGCUGUUCACAGGCACCAUCAUAGCUCACUGCAGCCCCAAACUCCUGAAUUCAAGGGAUCCUCCCGCCUCAGCCUCCUCAGAGGCUGAGGCAGGAGAAUCGUUUGAACCCGGUAGGCUGAUGUUGCAGUGAGCUGAGACAGCACCACUGCACUCCAGCCUGGGCAACAGGACCAGACUCCGUCUCCAAAAAACAAGAAAAAGAAAAGCAAUAUUCAGAAAGAGUAGGAAGAGGUGACCCGCUGAGAAAGACUCACUGUUCUGGCUCUGGCCAUAAGAAGAAUAGCUGCUCUGGCCAUAGCCUGAAGUGUCCGUGGACUGGCUAUAACCACUGUAACUCUGCUGUCCGUAGGGCUGACUGCUCUGCUGGGAAUAGCCCUGCCCGGGCUGGGUGGGGUAGGCCCCAUAGCU